UCGCACCUACCGAUUGAAUGGUCCGGUGAAUCUUUCGGACUGCGCGCAGCUUCGUGCCGUGUCGCGGAAAGUCAGGUAAACCUAAUCACUUAGAGGAAGGAC
rnacentral:rRNA from 1 species